rnacentral:rRNA from 1 species
UACGUAGGGGGCAAGCGUUGUCCGGAUUUACUGGGCGUAAAGAGCGUGUAGGCGGCCACGCAGGUCCGUUGUGAAAACUGGAGGCUCAACCUCCAGCUGUCGACGGAAACCGUAUGGCUAGAGUCCGGAAGAGGAGAGUGGAAUUCCUGGUGUAGCGGUGAAAUGCGCAGAUAUCAGGAAGAACACCAAUGGCGAAGGCAGCUCUCUGGGACGUUACUGACACUGAGGCGCGAAAGCGUGGGGAGCGAACAGG